UACAAUAAGCAAAAUAAGGGCGUAUGGGGGAUGCCUUGGCUCUCAGAGGCGAUGAAGGGCGUGAUAAGCUGCGAAAAGCUACGGGGAUCAGCACACAUGACUUGAUCCGUAGAUACCCGAAUGGGGCAACCCACUAUGUUGAAGACAUAGUACACCGAUAGGUGGGCAAACCCGCUGAACUGAAACAUCUAAGUAGGCGGAGGAGAAGAAAACAAAAGUGAUUCCGUAAGUAGUGGCGAGCGAACGCGGAUUAGCCCAAACCAAUGUUGUUACGGCAAUGUUGGGGUUGUAGGACCACGUUAUUUGUUGCGGAUAGAAUUAGAAUUUACUGGAAAGUAAAGCCAAAGAAGGUGAUAGCCCUGUAUAAGUAAUAGAAGAUAACGAUAGUGGUAUCCUGAGUAGGGCGGGACACGAGAAAUCCUGUCUGAAUUUGGCGGGACCAUCCGCUAAGGCUAAAUACUCCUGAGAGACCGAUAGUGAACCAGUACCGUGAGGGAAAGGUGAAAAGAACCGUGAAUAACGGAGUGAAAUAGAUCCUGAAACCAUACGCUUACAAGCGGUCGGAGCCCUUUCGUGGGGUGACGGCGUGCCUUUUGCAUAAUGAGCCUACGAGUUAACGUUGCUGGCAAGGUUAAGUGAUUAAGUCACGGAUCCGUAGCGAAAGCGAGUCUGAAUAGGGCGCUUUAGUCAGUAGUGUUAGACGCGAAACCGUGUGAUCUACCCAUGGACAGGAUGAAGCUGUGGUAACACAUAGUGGAGGUCCGAACCCGUUGACGUUGAAAAGUCUUGGGAUGAUCUGUGGGUAGGGGUGAAAGGCCAAUCAAACUCGGAAAUAGCUCGUACUCCCCGAAAUGCAUUUAGGUGCAGCGUUAUGGUUAAAGUUAUAUAGAGGUAGAGCUACUGAUUGGAUGCGGGGGCUUCACCGCCUACCAAUUCCUGACAAACUCCGAAUGCUAUAUAAUGUUUCAUAACAGUGAGGGCUUGGGUGCUAAGGUCCAAGUCCGAGAGGGAAAGAACCCAGACCAUCAGCUAAGGUCCCCAAAUAUAUACUAAGUUGAAAGAACGAGGUCUGUCUGCAUCGACAGCUAGGAUGUUGGCUUGGAAGCAGCCAUUCAUUUAAAGAGUGCGUAACAGCUCACUAGUCGAGCGGACGGGCAUGGAUAAUAAUCGGGCAUAAGUAUAUUACCGAAGCUAUGGAUUUAGAGAUUACUCUAAGUGGUAGGGGAGCAUUCUAACAGGGUAGAAGGUGAGUCGUAAGGCUUGCUGGACUGGUUAGAAAAGAAAAUGUAGGCAUAAGUAACGAUAAUGCGGGCGAGAAACCCGCACACCGAAAAACUAAGGUUUCCACAGCUAUGCUAAUCAGCUGUGGGUUAGUCUGGUCCUAAGGCGAACCCGAAAGGGACAGUCGAUGGCCAACGGGUUAAUAUUCCCGUACUACUAUUAAUUGUGAUGGGGUGACGGAGUGAUGAAAGCGCCGCGAACUGACGGAAUAGUUCGUUGAAGUACCUACCUAUAAGAACCGCAGGCAAAUCCACGGUUUUUGGGGAAAUACGAUAGUACUCGGAGCCUUCGGGCAAAGAGAUAGUGCGCCUAAGGGCUUCCAAGAAAAACCUCUAAACUUCAGAUU
rnacentral:rRNA from 1 species